AUGUGGUUUAAUUCGAUGCAACGCGAAGAACCUUACCUGGUCUUGACAUCCCGGAGACCCUUAGGAAACUAGGGGGUGCUUCCAUCUGGAAGAAUCUGGAGACAGGUGCUGCAUGGCUGUCGUCAGCUCGUGUCGUGAGAUGUUGGGUUAAGUCCCGCAACGAGCGCAACCCUUGUGUUUAGUUGCAAACAGGUCAAGCUGUGCACUCUAGACAGACUGCCGUGGACAACACGGAGGAAGGUGGGGAUGACGUCAAAUCAUCAUGCCCCUUAUGAUCUGGGCUACACACGUGCUACAAUGGCCGGUACAACGGGCAGCGAAGGAGCGAUCCGGAGCGAAUCCUAAAAAGCCGGUCCCAGUUCGGAUUGCAGGCUGAAACUCGCCUACAUGAAGUUGGAGUUGCUAGUAAUCGCGAAUCAGAAUGUCGCGGUGAAUGCGUUCCCGGGUCUU
rnacentral:rRNA from 1 species